CAAUACGUGCAGGCAAUUAGACUGAUGAACUGGGUGAAGCAGAUCGAACAAAUGUUGUCGUCUUAUACUUUAGAAGCUCCUCAUCAUCAACCUCCUCACUGAAUCUUGCACCUAUUGAAGAUCAAGUACAAUCUAUAUCCACCAUUCCACAGUCGUUGUCUAUGGUACAAACUGUUCCUGUGGAAGGCAGAAUAUCGCUUCCCGAUCAUUCUCAAUCAUUUUACUUGCUUGCCUGUUCAAACUGCAAUCACUAUGUACGUCCUAAAAUAAAAAAUGGUCCACUGCUUCAACUAUAAACUACACAGGCCAUUGGUCCCCAAGUAACUACAAACUUUACUGCAGCUCAGUUUCUUAAAAUUGAGUUCAUUCACUGUCGAAGAAUUCAUAAAUUUAGGGAAUUGUUUGAAAUGAUAUUACAUUUGGAACUAAAAGUAUUUGCAAAUUUGAUGAAUGAGAGAGAGCAGUUCAAGUUGAAAUGAGGUUUCACACUAUAUAACAGGUAUUAGAAAAACCUACAUUUGAGAAACUGUAUUUGGGAUUCGAUAGAAAUUCAUCCAUGAUUUCUUUGUUCUCAGUUGCUAUAUUUUACAUUUUAUACUACUAUGGACACUGUCACCCAAAGCAUUGUGCCCUUUGUUUCGUAAAAUGAACAUAACCUUGGUUGUUCUUAAAAGCUCUGUUCUGUCUCCAUCCAGGUGUGCCUAUAGCAAAUUGCGUUUCAACCUAGCUAUUGAGUCACAAUGAGUUAAUUUGCUCGAAAACAGUCAACUGGGACAAGCUUAUCCGUGUGUUUCA